GAUGAACGCUGGCGACAUGCCUAAUACAUGCAAGUCGAACGAGAGGAAGGAAAGCUUGCUUUUCUGAAUCUAGUGGCGAACGGGUGAGUAACACGUAGGUAACCUGCCCAUGUGCCCGGGAUAACUUCUGGAAACGGAUGCUAAAACCGGAUAGGUAGCAGACAAGCAUUUGACUGCUAUUAAAGUGGCUAAGGCCAUGAACAUGGAUGGACCUGCGGUGCAUUAGCUAGUUGGUGAGGUAACGGCCCACCAAGGCGACGAUGCAUAGCCGGCCUGAGAGGGCGGACGGCCACAUUGGGACUGAGACACGGCCCAAACUCCUACGGGAGGCAGCAGUAGGGAAUUUUCGUCAAUGGGGGGAACCCUGAACGAGCAAUGCCGCGUGAGUGAGGAAGGUCUUCGGAUCGUAAAGCUCUGUUGUAAGAGAAAAACGACAUUCAUAGGGAAUGAUGAGUGAGUGAUGGUAUCUUACCAGAAAAUCACGGCUAACUACGUGCCAGCCGCCGCUGUAAUAC
rnacentral:rRNA from 1 species